CCCCCUCCCCCUCCCUCUCCCUCUCCACGCGCUUUGCCUGUGGGCGCUGCUCGCUUAUCCGCUCACGUGCACACGCGUAGCGGCAGUGUACGAGGGGACGGAGAGAAAGGAAAGCGCGCUCGAGAUACUGCGGGUUUUGUUUUGUUUUUCUUUGUGCUCUUUCUCCGCCUUGUGCUGGUGUGCGUGCUCCUGCCUCCUGCCUCUUUAGCUGAGCAGGCGGCGCCUCUUCUAUGUCGCCUGACGGAAUCGCUCAUGAGCACCUUCGCGCCGCCGCCGCCGCCGCCGGCUGGCGUCGUGGUACCCCCGCCGCCCCCAGCGAUAAUCCCGGUGCCGCCCGCCGCCGUGCCAGCGAGUCCCAAUGCCGCAUCAGGUGCUGAGGCGAACGUGGUAAAACCAGGUGGUGUGGCCCUUGACAUGUCGAAUCACUUCGGACCGCAAAAGAAUGUGCCCAAGAAGUCGUUACCGCCGUGGGAGCGGAAGAAACUCGCGACGCCCAUCUCCGGCUCCUCACCCAGAGCGGACAACUCAACACCGCCGCCAGGGCCCGUCGAUGCCACGUCUAAACCAUUGUCACCCGCAGCUGUUCCGCUGCCGCACACUGCGGUCAAUGCGCCUGCGGUGGUGACGCGCAAGUCGCUCUCCACCGCGUCGUUGACCACUUCGCCCCAGCCCUAUGCGCCACAGUCAUACACAUCGGCCAUGAGCAGCGCUGCCACCGCCGAUACCGGUGUCCCUCCACCGCCGGUGGUCUCGGUGCCACCACCGCCACCGCCGGUACACCCCGUAGUGCAGGCUGUCCCGUCGAGCGCGGCGACUACUGCGGCUCCGCUGCCUCUCGUCUCCUCAUCAGCGCCGCCGCCGCGGCCUACCCCAGACGCGCAGGCGCCUCUGCCAGCGCCGGCCUCCGCUACAACCGGUGCGUCAACACUGCCGCUUCCCUCACCAAGCGUAAGCCAGUCCGCCACUGUGGCCGCGGCGGCGAUACCUCAAGGCACAGCGCAGCCAACUCUGUCAGCAUCAUCCCCCGCUGCGGUCGCAGCCACUGACCACAUCGUGCAGGAAGCGAUGCGGGAGUUGAGGCCUUACCUGCUAUCGCCCAUGCUUACCGUGCUUGCGCCGCACCUCGUCUUUCAGGGUAACGAACAACGGUGGGUGGUGCCGCCUCUGGGGCCCGUUCCUUUGAGCAAGCGAAAGAAGGCGCCCAGCGCGGCCGUCGCUUCUGCGGGUAGCUGGCACAACCGCUAUGACCUGCAGCCCUCCCCGUCCUUUGACGCCGCGCAGCACGACGGCAGCGAGCCACUCGUCACCUCCGCCGCCACCUCGAGUACGCGGCGGCAGUGGACGUCGAACGCUGUUAUCAACUCCGCCAAGGCCAAGAGCAACUGGCGAGAAACUUACUGGAAGCACGUUGACGUUCAUCGCUACGUCGCGCGGCGCUACUUUGGUGCCCCGCCACCGCUGGAGCAGUGAGAAGGCGGGCACACGUCCAACAAUGUAUCUCGAAGCCGCUUGCGUGGGAAGAGAGGAAAAGGGGCACGAUAGAUGUGCCGCCGCUGCUCUCCAUCUUGCAUUCAAAGUGGUUUGUCUUUCUUAUUCCUUGCCCUUGCUUGGAUGGGCGCUUUACGAGUUAGAUGGAAGACGUGUGCAACGAGAGAUGCACGCAUACGUCACUCAGCAAGGCAAAGCAAAAGAAAGAGUGUACAGUCGGCACUACAACGGUUGCCGUGAGGCCACGGAGAGAUAGGAGGGGGGGGAGGACAGCAGCAGCGCGUCCUCGGAGCGGAAGCAAUCGAAUGCAAGCGCGUGCCAUUCUCCCACCCUGUCCAUCGCUCUCCGUAGUGUGCCUUGAAACUGUGGUCACCACAUCUGGCCUUUGCUUGUU
rnacentral:misc_RNA from 1 species